GGAGUCGGGAAAAGGUGACCCAUUCGGCUCCCCAGGAAAACUGGGUGCAGUUACUGGAGACAAGGGAAUGGAUACUGGGAGGAUAGUGAAGGUUUCAAGGAAGGGUCCAGGCUGGUGACAGUACAUUCAGGCUGCUAUCACGGAACAUCGCAGACUGGGUGACUUCUCCACAAUGGAAAUUCAUUGUUCACAGCUCUGGAAGCUAGACGUCCAAGGUCAAGGCUGCAGCGCGGUUGCCUUCUGAGCAGGGGACAUGUGGUUGAUCCCUGGUCUGGGAACGAAGACCCCACAGGUCUCAG